rnacentral:rRNA from 1 species
GCAGCUUGCUGCUUUGCUGACGAGUGGCGGACGGGUGAGUAAUGUCUGGGAAACUGCCCGAUGGAGGGGGAUAACUACUGGAAACGGUAGCUAAUACCGCAUAACGUCGCAAGACCAAAGAGGGGGACCUUAGGGCCUCUUGCCAUUGGAUGUGCCCAGAUGGGAUUAGCUAGUAGGUGGGGUAAAGGCUCACCUAGGCGACGAUCCCUAGCUGGUCUGAGAGGAUGACCAGCCACACUGGAACUGAGACACGGUCCAGACUCCUACGGGAGGCAGCAGUGGGGAAUAUUGCACAAUGGGCGCAAGCCUGAUGCAGCCAUGCCGCGUGUAUGAAGAAGGCCUUC